UGUGGCUCAGUGUUAGAGCACCUGCCUAGCAAGCAUGAGAACCUGGAUUUGACCUCUAGCA
rnacentral:tRNA from 1 species